AGUGAACGCUGGCGGUAGGCCUAACACAUGCAAGUCGAACGGCAGCACAGUAAGAGCUUGCUCUUACGGGUGGCGAGUGGCGGACGGGUGAGGAAUACAUCGGAAUCUACUUUUUCGUGGGGGAUAACGUAGGGAAACUUACGCUAAUACCGCAUACGACCUACGGGUGAAAGCAGGGGAUCUUCGGACCUUGCGCGAUUGAAUGAGCCGAUGUCGGAUUAGCUAGUUGGCGGGGUAAAGGCCCACCAAGGCGACGAUCCGUAGCUGGUCUGAGAGGAUGUUCACCCACCUGGGAACGGGGACAGGGCCAGGCUCCCUCGGGGGGGAACAGUGGGGAAAUUUUGACAAUGGGCGGAAGCCUGAUCCCAGCCUACCGGGUGGGUUGAGGAAGCCCUUGGGGUGGUAAGGCCCUUUUUUUGGGAAGAAAAGCAAGCAGUUUAUACCCCGGUGGUCCUGCCGUUACCAAAGGAAAAAGCACCGGCUAACUUCGUC
rnacentral:rRNA from 1 species